rnacentral:rRNA from 1 species
AGUGGCGGACGGGUGAGUAACGCGUGAGAAUCUGCCUUCAGGUCGGGGACAACAGAGGGAAACUUCUGCUAAUCCCGGAUGAGCCUUAGGGUAAAAAAUUUAUUGCCUGGAGAUGAGCUCGCGUCUGAUUAGCUAGUUGGUAAGGUAAAAGCUUACCAAGGCAACGAUCAGUAGCUGGUCUGAGAGGAUGAGCAGCCACACUGGGACUGAGACACGGCCCAGACUCCUACGGGAGGCAGCAGUGGGGAAUUUUCCGCAAUGGGCGAAAGCCUGACGGAGCAAGACCGCGUGGGGGAGGAAGGCUCUAGGGUUGUAAACCCCUUUUCUUUGGGAAGAACAAAAUGACGGUACCAAAGGAAUCAGCCUCGGCUAACUCCGUGCCAGCAGCCGCGGUAAUACGGAGGAGGCAAGCGUUAUCCGGAAUGAUUGGGCGUAAAGCGUCCGCAAGUGGCAAUGUAAGUCUGCUGUCAAAACCCAGGGCUCAACUCUGGUCAGGCAGUGGAAACUACAUAGCUAGAGUUCGGUAGGGGCAAAGGGAAUUCCCGGUGUAGCGGUGAAAUGCGUAGAGAUCGGGAAGAACAUCGGUGGCGAAAGCGCUUUGCUAGACCGAAACUGACACUCAGGGACGAAAGCUAGGGGAGCGAAUGGGAUUAGAUACCCC